AUUGAACGCUGGCGGCAGGCCUAACACAUGCAAGUCGAGCGCGCGGCGGACGGGUGAGUAAUGUCUGGGAAACUGCCUGAUGGAGGGGGAUAACUACUGGAAACGGUAGCUCAUACCGCAUACCCUCAGAUGUGCCCAGAUGGGAUUAGCUAGUAGGUGGGGUAAAGGAUCACCUCGGCGACGAUCCCUAGCUGGUCUGAGAGGAUGACCAGCCACACUGGAACUGAGACACGGCCCAGACUCCUACGGGAGGCAGCAGUGGGGAAUAUUGGACAAUGGGGGCAAGCCUGAUACAGCCAUCCCGCGUGUGUGAAGAAGGCCUUCGGGUUGUAAAGCACUUUCAGCGGGGAGGCGGUACCCGCAGAAGAAGCACCGGCUAACUCCGUGCCAGCAGCCGCGGUAAUUC
rnacentral:rRNA from 1 species